AUUGAACGCUGGCGGCAGGCCUACCACAUGCAAGUCGAGCGAGCGGCGGACGGGUGAGUAAUGUCUGGGAAACUGCCUGAUGGAGGGGGAUAACUACUGGAAACGGUAGCUAAUACCGCAUACCAUCAGAUGUGCCCCGAUGGGAUUAGCUAGUAGGUGGGGUAACGGCUCACCUAGGCGACGAUCCCUAGCUGGUCUGAGAGGAUGUACAGCCACACGGGAACUGAGACACGGUCCAGAAUCCUACGGGAGGCAGCAGUGGGGAAUAUGGCACAAUGGGCGAAAGCCGAAUGCAGCCAUGCCGCGUGUAUGAAGAAGGCCUUCGGGUUGUAAAGUACUUUCAGCGGGGAGGCGUUACCCGCAGAAGAAGCACCGGCUAACUCCGUGCCAGCAGCCGCGGUAAUAC
rnacentral:rRNA from 1 species